CGCCAUUUUCAAUCGCGAAUUUGGGUGGUAAAUAAUAAUGCGUCUCUUACUUUCCGUUUCUACCAGGUAGGAAAAAACUAUUCGGUGGUCGACAGACUGGACAGAAAUGCAGGCUCGACCAUGUCGCUUCAGAGGCGUAGUGCAGGCAGUUUCCGAAAUUUUCGGAAACCAGAUGUACGUCCUGAUGACGUUCAAGGAUCCAGACAACGUCGAACGUGUUGCUCCGGUUAUCAUCGUAGAUGACACGGUACUCUGUCAACAAACAAA